CUGGCUGAGGUUUUAUAUUUUACUGGCUGAGGUUUUAUAUUUUACUGACUGACUGAGGUUUUAUAUUUUACUGGCUGAGGUUUUAUAUUUUACUGGCUGAGGUUUUAUAUUUUACUGGCUGAGGUUUUAUAUUUUACUGGCUGAGGUUUUAUAUUUUACUGGCUGACUGAGGUUUUAUAUUUUACUGACUGAGGUUUUAUAUUUUACUGGCUGAGGUUUUAUAUUUUACUGACUGAGGUUUUAUAUACUGCUCAAAAAAAUAAAGGGAACACUUAAACAACACAUCCUAGAUCUGAAUAAAAUAAAUAAUCUUAUUAAAUACUUUUUUCUUUACAUAGUUGAAUGUGCUGACAACAAAAUCAC
rnacentral:lncRNA from 1 species